CAGUCGCCGCGGUAAUGCGGAGGGGGCUAGCGUUGUUCGGAAUUACUGGGCGUAAAGCGCACGUAGGCGGCCUGGUAAGUUAGAGGUGAAAGCCUGGAGCUCAACUCCAGAAUUGCCUUUAAGACUGCCGAGCUAGCAGGUGAGAGAGGUAAGUGGAAUUCCGAGUGUAGAGGUGAAAUUCGUAGAUAUUCGGAAGAACACCAGUGGCGAAGGCGGCUUACUGGCUCAUACUGGACGCUGAGGUGCGAAAGCGUGGGGAGCAAACAGGAUUAGAUACCCCCGUAGUCCCUGUCUCUUAUAC
rnacentral:rRNA from 1 species